CCCCCCCACCACACCCCCUGCCCCCAUCUGUGGAAAAUUUGUCUUCCAUGAAACCAGUCCCUGGUGCCAGAAAGGUAGGGAACUGCUGUUAUACAGCAUUCCAUUGUGUGAAUGCCACAAUUCAUUCAUUUUUUUAUUCCAAGAGCUAAAAGUUCGUAUUUAAAAAGUGGCUGACACUUGCGUGCUAGUUGAGACCCAGCACAGCACUUAGCAGUCACUGCUGGCUGUGACGCCAGGCGGGGGAGCUGGGAGCUAAGCCUCUCUGACCCCGAAGCGCCACUACCCACCCAACACUCACUGAGGCGCAGUUUUCAGUUUUUUCAGUUGCUGUCGUUCAGUGAAGCGUCUCUGGAAGGCUCCCUCUGUGCCUGUGUGGCCACCGCUGCGCCCACCCCGCAGUCCCAUUUUGGAGGGCAGGUGGGAGGACGGCAGGCUGUCCCUUGGGAAGUCAGCUGUGAGGCCAGACUUGCCCAGGCACCGGGAAUGGGUUUGCCACGCUCACUCCCUGGCAGUGGUCACCAGGCCCCAGUGAGAAGGCCCCUCCACUGGAUCCUGGGUGACCGUCCAAGUGGGCUGAGUGAGGAAGCUCCGUGCUUCCGUGGGAGCUGCUUGUUGUCAGCAGACACAGGCUGUACUGAGUGGCACAGAGCUGCAGGGUCCCAGGCAGCCCCCUGCCACUGCUCUCUCCUUGCGCCGCCUCUUUGACAGGUGCUGCGUGUCCCUCACCUGGCCAAGGACUAACUAGAGGUCUCAGAGAGGCAAGCAGGACCCAACUCCCCACAUAAUUUGGGUAAGCUCAGAUGCGCCCACCGGCAUGCCCCGCCCCAGUGUGAUCUCCCACCCUGGCCCCUGGCCUGGCCCUUCAGGCUGCUGCAGGGGCCAGUGUGUGUGGACGCGGACAGGUGAGCCUGCUGGGCAGCUCCCGAGUGGGACCCUCAGGCUGCCCUGGGCCACAGGCAGGUCGCCACCAUCCAACCCAGGGCCGCCCUGCCGAUGCCCGUGCGGGCUCCCCUGCUCCCAGGCUGAAAUUCGAACUCCUUGGCUACUACUUGGCCUCAGCUGAGGCCUCUCAGUGGGACCUGGAAACCCAGCAGAAGCACCCCGCCAGACUGCCCGUCCCUGCAGCCCGCGCCUGACCCAGCCUGACAGGGCACAGGGAGUCACCAAGAACGGCUUGCAGACGGGCGGCACUCUGGUUUGGGAGAAGGAAUUUCCACCUCGGGGCACUUCUGGGGAGCCUGGACACGCUCAGACCUAUCAUCACAUCCAAACCACGGAGAACUUUAAAACUGUCGUCGUCUGCUUUAUUGACAGUGACACUGGGAAAGAUACGCAACCCUCCCGCUCCUUUCCUGAGGUCCCAGGAAACGGAAAGACUACUCACUGAGGCCACGUCCCGAGCUGUCUGCUUCCUAAGCAGGCCACGUUCUAACGGGUUUCUGCGGAGGGAGCUGGCGCCGGGAUGGUAGGGGUGGGAGACGGGCUGUGUGGCGGUCCUUCAUGUGCAAAUGGAGUAGUGUCACCUCACAGCUGUGCAGACGAAUGGAUCUGAUCUAACUGCCACGAACAAUGCGGCAUAAAACUGAUCAUUAUUAUAAUAAAGAUUUUUCUUCAUCUUCGUAUCUA